rnacentral:rRNA from 1 species
AGCGAACGCUGGCGGCAGGCCUAACACAUGCAAGUCGAACGAACUCUUCGGAGUUAGUGGCGGACGGGUGAGUAACACAUGGGAACGUGCCUUUAGGUACGGAAUAACUCAGGGAAACUUGUGCUAAUACCGAAUGUGCCCUUCGGGGGAAAGAUUUAUCGCCUUUAGAGCGGCCCGCGUCUGAUUAGCUAGUUGGUGAGGUAAUGGCUCACCAAGGCUACGAUCAGUAGCUGGUCUGAGAGGAUGACCAGCCACAUUGGGACUGAGACACGGCCCAAACUCCUACGGGAGGCAGCAGUGGGGAAUCUUGCGCAAUGGGCGAAAGCCUGACGCAGCCAUGCCGCGUGGAUGAUGAAGGUCUUAGGAUUGUAAAAUCCUUUCACCGGUGAAGAUAAUGACUGUAGCCGGAGAAGAAGCCCCGGCUAACUUCGUGCCAGCCGCCGCAGUAAUAC